rnacentral:rRNA from 1 species
UACGAAGGGGGCUAGCGUUGCUCGGAAUCACUGGGCGUAAAGGGCGCGUAGGCGGCCAUUCAAGUCGGAGGUGAAAGCCCAGGGCUCAACCCUGGAAUUGCCUUCGAUACUGUUUGGCUAGAGACCGGAAGAGGUAAGUGGAACUGCGAGUGUAGAGGUGAAAUUCGUAGAUAUUCGCAAGAACACCAGUGGCGAAGGCGGACUCACUGGCCCGGUACUGACGCUGAGACGCGAAAGCGUGGGGAGCAAACAGG